AAGCCAAAAAUUAGAUUUUUUUGGUGGUGUGGUUAGAAUCUUUGGAAAUACUUGGACGAGGUAAUAUACAAAAUUGGCAGACAGGUAUUUCAGUUCAAUCCUUCAAUCCAAUCUAACAAACGAAUGCUUGACAGUGAUUUCUAGCUCAAAUACACAAGUUAUAUUCACCUUUAUCAAUUUUUCAUCCACGAAUUCGAACUUCACAUCCGGGAAUUCAACUUCGAGCUUCAAAGCUCGUUCGUGAAUCGGUGAGACAGUUGCAGAGCAGUGGGCAGGUCGCCGCCGGUGGAACCAUUUCCGGCACCAUUGUAUGCGAAGCAGAAGUUUCACCAAAAAUUGUCGAAGUGUUGGCUAAAGCAAAGCAGAAUUUUUCUGCUGUGUGCAAAGCAGAAGUGUCAGCGGCAACUGUGUAAGGAAACAAGGAUUAAAGCCGGUGGAGUUCACUUGGAUGACCAAGUAUUUAGUAGAGGGCACGACGACAAUGUAUAACAUAUCAGCAAGUAUCGAGAUGGAUCUGCAUCGGAGCAAAGGAAGAUCAGCAAGUGAGACAAAACUACUUCUCCACUCACGUAGUAGGAUUGUGUCACCUAUACCACUGAACCUUGUAUAGGUAGAAGUUGUACUAAAGCAUUGCUCAAGUCAGUAUUUUGUUUAAAUCAUCUGAAAACUUCAAAAGUUGUUUAGUACUACCUUUCCUUAGUCUUAUGAGAUGGCGUGGCUACUUGUUUU